rnacentral:lncRNA from 1 species
AAGUGUGACCCAGCAGACACGCGGCCACUGCCCCUAGACAUGUGAUCCUCUCGAUUCCUGCUCCUCAGCCAUCAGGCCAGAUGUUGCAGCUGGCUCUUCAGUGUUGGGAUGCUCAGAACAAGAAGGUGCUUAUUAAACGUUUGCUGCAUAAGUGAGCGGAUGACUACCACUGAAGUCUAGCCUAAAGGAUGGCCUGGAAAGACUUCUGGGGACUUGUAAAGAACCAUCUCCCAAACGGAACCUCUCCACCCUGAAAAGUGAAAACUCUAAAGGCUUUGAAAAGAGACUGUUUUCUCUUUCACUUGCUGCGGGGAAGUGUUGCAAUGAGAAGAGCUGCUGUCUAUCUGGAAGGAAGUGGGCUGAGCUGUCAAGGUCAGCGCUAUGCAGCGGGGAAGGUUUCUCCAUCUUCUGAAGCAGACUGAGUGCAGCUUGACAACCAGUGUUGGCGGCUCAGUGAGGCCCAUCCCCAGGCACAGAUGGGGAGGGCAGCAAGCAGACACGGGGUGUGGUUUGUGGCACUUAGAAAGGUCCUUGCACAAUCGGAUCAGCGUCAGACAUGUAUGGGAUGUGCAUUAAUACUUGGAAUGAAUUUGUUCAGAAUGGCUCAGAAAGACUCCUGAGGCUACAACUUGGAAAUGUUUAUGAAGAAGUAUUUAAAAUUUUCUAUGGCUUUUAGACAUAAGAGGCCAAGGCUGGGACAGCCAGACUCAGCAGCUCAGAAAGUAUCCCAAUGUGGCUG